CGUUCUUCCGCCUAUCCUUGAGACCUAUUAUCAACAAUGUCAGGUGACUGACCUUAGGGGUUGGCUAUUAUAGAACAUCCGGAACCAACCACUUCCUUUUGCCUUUCUCACCUCAUCUGAGGCCAAAGCGGUAGAGCUCAUCUCAGCUUAAUUACGGGAGACAGUGUAGUUCCAAUUCGUCACAUUUUCGUGAAGGUGCUUCACGUUCCUGAAGAUUGCGGUGGAUCUCUCCUCAUAUAUAUCUUGGAGUGUCGUUGGAACACACGUUGCGUUAGCGUGAGCUGAGAUCGGUCGGAUGACGAGGCUCAGGUAUAAACACCGCCAAAGGUGAAGCAUCUGGUCAUGCCCAGCAUUUAGCUGAUCAUCUUCCACACUCGCAUCCAUCAUGUAAAGAGAAGAGACGUCGAGUCAAAACAGAAAAUUCAGAUUCAGGAGUCAGAUCCAUAAUCAGGUACCUCUGGAUGAACCCAUGGACCCGCAAGCUGAGGUCUCGCCCUUUACAACUCUCUCCUCUCCUCUAUCAUUUUUAAAAACAAAUCUCUUACUCUUUGUUUGUUUGUAUCGUUGGGGGGUCAUUAAAGGACUAAACAUUGGCCAGAUCACAAAGAGAGGGGUGGUUAAUAUGUUUCAGCGGCUCCAUUAGUCAAAGUGUGUGUGGGGGUAUGCAGUGUGUGUGUGUGUGUG
ensembl:lncRNA